AAUGGCACCCCACUCCAUGUUCUUGCCUGGAGAAUCCCAGGGAUGGUGGAGCCUGGUGGGCUGCUGUCUAUGGGGUCGCACAGAGUUGGACACGACUGAAGCGACUUAGCAGCAGCAGCAAAGUCAUGGGGAGAAGGGUUUCCCAAGGGUUUAUGACGGUUGUAUAGCACAAGCCUGGCCUUGCACAGAUCCAAAGAUAGCAGCAGAUCCAGCCUUGUGGACACAUGAUAUCAACUAGGCAUCUGAGCAAGAAAGGACAUUUCCUCCAGUGUGCUGCUCACCUGUGCUUCUCUCAAGGUUUCUCUUGACUGUCUCCACUACCCAUGAGUUUUCUGGCCCUGCAGGGCUGCACCAAAACUAUUUGGCUCUUUCAUGGCAAUCGGGGUUCUGUUGAAGCUACAUAAUGCCUAGUUUUCCAGACUUCCCAGUUCAGAUCUGAUGGGCUCCACAGGUCUUCAGCAUUUGUCAGGUUGACUUGUACUAUGAGCUUCACUGGCAGCUCCAGUCAAACGUACCUGGGAAUGAAGGGGUGAGGGUGUGUGGAUUUUAAACACUGCUGCCAAAGGCUACCUCACAAUGGGAAUUUGUGAUUGGAGCCAGAGAAAUCCUAGUCCUUGGAGAUAUUUAGAACAGGUUACUUUUCACUGGAACCUAAGUUCUCUGUAAAGGACAUCUGUUCACCAGCCACCUGAUACCACCGGUUUAACAGCAAAUGGACUCUGCCCUUCAUUGAGUGACCAGCACUUGAGUUUUCCUGUGUGGGAGGCAAGAGGGGACAGGACAUGGGUCCUGCUGAGGCGAUCAUGCAGUCUGCUGGAGGC
rnacentral:lncRNA from 1 species